CGAGUUUGACUUGCCAUCCUGAAGCGAUUUCACCGAACUUUCAAUCCCAGAACAAGGAACGUGGCUUAUGGAUUUGAACGUUGCCAAACCCCAAAGCGAACGUUCCCUUCCGCUUUCUUCUUCUUCUUCAUUGGUCGUCCUGCAAUUACUUCUUGUUCUUCCCAUUCUUAUUCGUAUUGUGGCGCAAUUAUAUUCUCAGUUUUUCUUGGAUUUUGAGGACAACCCCACCCCCACCCCCACCCCCAUCUAGCAGUCUGGGGUUAGAUCACUACCCCGUGUCAGGAAGGAGACCAUGAUUUUCCAAUCGCGGACCCAAACUGCUCGGACCUCGAGAAAUUUCUCUUUUGUUGCUCUCCAAUGAAACAGCACAGUUGAUACAUUUCAUGAAUCUUCUUAAGUAACGGUUGCUAACAUUAGAAUCCAUGAAAACCCACGCCAUCACGAUUCCACGCCACCUGCUUGAUGAAAUUCCAGAAAGCAUCUGCUUUGCAAUGGUCUUCUUAAAUUUUACAUUUUUCUGUUUAUACUGAUACCAUAUACUCUUAACUCUCUGAAUUAAUCUAUAUAUCCAUGCUAAUUCUGAACCCUAGAAAAGUGAUCCUCCAGGUUUCUCCUAUAUGCUCGCCUUGAGGUUUUGUAAUAUCUCUGGUAUUGGCAAAACUAGUGUCAUGCCGAGCAUUGAAGUAUGUUAACUAGCUGAAGUAUGUUUAAUGCAACAUACAUUCGUCUCUCCACUAUGACAGUAUGAACAGACAACUUUCCCCUUGGCCGUCCUCUCCCUCCACUAUUUCCCGUCAUUCAAUAUCUAAUUUUUUCUAACCACUCAAAACCUGGGCCGCUAGUAUUCCUGUGUAUGCUGGAAAACAUUAGUUUUUUAAAACUUUUGAUUGCAGUGAAAUCAGAUCUUUAGCUUUAGCUGGUUGAGUUGUCUUCUCUUUGGCAGCAGAUACCUGAAGUCAGAGGCAGGCAGUCAUUCAGCUAAAUGGCAAGUGUCAUAUUGACGUUUUCUCCUUGUAUUAGUACUAAUUGUACAAGGAAGUGCAGCCCAUCAAAGUGUUCCGUCCUCCUAGGAUACUAUGCCUCUUCUUGUACUCGUAAGAUGGAGGACAUUGUAGUAUCCUCUUACCAGCCUCGUCAUUGUCAUGGUCGACUGAGUUUACAAUUUCGUAAACCGAGUAAGUUCCCCUGCCUCAUCAUUAUCAUGGCCAUCUAAUUCUGCAAAUAGAUAAACCAAAUAAAUUCCCCACAGGAAGUCUUAGUAGUUACCUUACCUAUGGAAUUCCUGUUCCUAAUAUAGGAGUAUUUUUUUCUUGAAUGAGGUACUCUUUAGUUGUUUCUUGAACCUUGGCUAUAAAAUUUUGUGUUUGUCAAAUAGCUUAUUACAAAUUGCAUGUUACAGCCGAUAUUGUUCAAUUUUGAACACUUCUUUCCAGCUCUAACCUUGCCAAUAUCUGGUGCAUUCUUUCCUAGAGGCCAUUCGUCCUUCUUCUCUUCAACAGUUUGUCAAGCAAAACAAGGGGAUAGUGCCUUUAGUGGCGAAAACAUUACACUAGAUCAGCAAAUUUUAGAGCAGGAGCUCCAAAUUGCCAUUGAGGAGGAAAACUAUCCAAAA